rnacentral:rRNA from 1 species
UACGGAGGGUGCAAGCGUUGUCCGGAUUCAUUGGGUUUAAAGGGCGCGUAGGCGGCGACUCUAGUCAGAUGUGAAAGUCCUGGGCUUAACCUGGGGACUGCAUUUGAUACUGGGUUGCUUGAAUUCGGGAGAGGAUAGCGGAAUUCCCAGUGUAGAGGUGAAAUUCGUAGAUAUUGGGAAGAACACCGGUGGCGAAGGCGGCUAUCUGGACCGACAUUGACGCUGAGGCGCGAAAGCGUGGGGAGCAAACAGG